AGGACGAACGCUGGCGGCGUGCUUAACACAUGCAAGUCGAACGAGGUUCAAGGGUUAGCAAUAACCUGGAAAACCUAGUGGCGAACGGGUGAGUAACACGUGAGGAACCUACCCCGGACUCAGGGAUAACGGCUGGAAACGGCUGCUAAUACCUGAUGCCGUCGGAGCAUCACAUGGUGCACUGACGAAAGAAUCUCGGUUCGGGAGGGCCUCGCGGCCUAUCAGCUUGUUGGUGGGUAACGGCCUACCAAGGCAUCGACGGGUAGCUGGUCUGAGAGGAUGAUCAGCCACACUGGGACUGAGACACGGCCCAGACUCCUACGGGAGGCAGCAGUGGGGAAUCUUGCGCAAUGGGCGAAAGCCUGACGCAGCAACGCCGCGUGCGGGAAGAAGGCCCUAGGGUUGUAAACCGCUUUCAGUAGGACGAAAUGACGGUACUGCAGAGAAGGUGCGGCCACUACGUGCCAGCAGCCGCGGU
rnacentral:rRNA from 1 species